AGUCGAGCGCGAUGGAGCAAUCCUAGUAGAGCGGCGCACGGGUGCGUAAUACGUGGAUAAUCUGCCUGGGUGUUUGGGAUAACCAGCUCGAAAGACUGGCUAAUACCGAAUAAGCCCCCGGGAGCUUCGGCUCCUGAGGGAAAAGGUGGCCUCUGUAUACAAGCUAUCACAUCCAGAUGAGUCCGCGGCCCAUCAGCUAGUUGGCGGGGUAAUGGCCCACCAAGGCAACGACGGGUAGCUGGUCUGAGAGGACGAUCAGCCACACUGGAACUGAGACACGGUCCAGACUCCUACGGGAGGCAGCAGUGGGGAAUUUUGCGCAAUGGGCGAAAGCCUGACGCAGCAACGCCGCGUGUGUGAUGAAGGUCUUCGGAUUGUAAAGCACUUUCGACCGGGACGAAAACCCCCAGCCCAACACGCUGGGGCUUGACGGUACCGGGAGAAGAAGCACCGGCUAACUCUGUGCCAGCAGCCGCGGUAAUACAGAGGGUGCAAGCGUUGUUCGGAAUUAUUGGGCGUAAAGCGCGUGUAGGCGGCUUUGCAAGUCGGGUGUGAAAGCCCUCAGCUCAACUGAGGAAGUGCGCCCGAAACUGCAGAGCUUGAGUGCCGGAGAGGGUGGCGGAAUUCCCCAAGUAGAGGUGAAAUUCGUAGAUAUGGGGAGGAACACCGGUGGCGAAGGCGGCCACCUGGACGGUAACUGACGCUGAGACGCGAAAGCGUGGGGAGCAAACAGGAUUA
rnacentral:rRNA from 1 species